CCUGUCCUACACAAACACCCACUUUGGUGAUGCGGCAUUCCUGGCACUAAACUCUGUAACAGCACUAUUGUUGUUUUACCAAUUUAUGAAUUGCCUUACGCGCUGAGUCUCAGGGCAAUUUUGCAAGCAUGCCAGGAACCAUCUAAAGAUAGUUUUGAAAGAAGUACAAAACCCAACUAAAGAUAGAUCUAAAAGGAAUACAGGAUAAACAAUCGGAUGCUUUCAUCCCAUUGGAAAGCUUGCCAAAAGAAGAAAUGCCUUCAGUUGUUUCCGGAAACAAGGCCUUGAUAGGAAAAACAUCUGAUUUGGCUCCGUCCUGUAUCCUCGAUUAACUGAAGUGGCCUCUCAAGUCUCCACCGUGGAAGAAAAAAAGCAAAACUUAGUCUCUCCUAAUGAAAUGCAAUAAACACUUUUUACACACACACACACA